rnacentral:rRNA from 1 species
AUGAAAGGAGUUCAGAUUACUAUUCCUAUUCUUGAAAUUGUUUUGCAUGUUCUGAUGUAUGCCAAAUAUUUCAAGGAAUUAUUAACAAAGAAAAUAAGCAUGUCUGAGAUAGAAGUUGUAACUCUAUCAAAGGAAUGCAGUGCAAUAAUUCAGAAUUCCAUGCCUGAAAAAUUGGAUGAUCCAGGAAAUUUUUGUGUGCCAUGUGUGAUUGGAAACAAAACUUACAGUGCUCUAUGUGACUUGGGCUCAAGUGUUAGUGUGUUACCACAUUCAGUUAGCAAAAGGAUGUUCUUGGGAUAA